UAUCCACUCCAUCACAAAUUUAACCAAAACCUUUCUCUCUCUCUCUCGCUUAUUGCCUUUGAAGUACUUUCAGAGAAAUUGGGAAGUGGGAUUUCAAUAUCUUUUUUGUAAACUUAUUAUCCUUGAAGGGUUGUGUUUAAUUUAAUCUGGGGGAUGACUGCAUGGUGACAUGAUAUGCGCAUCAUAUAUAUAUAUAUAUAUAUAUAUAUAUAUAUAUAUAUAUAUAUAUAUUUCACUACCAUGAAAAACUCAUUUUAUCUUCAUUUGAAAGCCACCAGAGCCAUUGUCCUUGUGCAUUUUCUUCUCUCUUCAAUUCCAGCCUUUUGUUUUACUGCUCAUCUGCCUCAGCCUCUCACUCCUCCUCUUCGGGGCAUGUUAUUUGAGGAGAAAACCAGGCUGGGUUCAGAACCACCAAGCUGCCACAACAAGUGCAAUUAUUGCCACCCAUGCGUGGCGGUUCAAGUGCCCACCAUUUCCAGCCGCGAGCGGCGGGUCGAACCAGGCAUGACCCGAACCAUCCCCAUGAUGUUCCUUGACCCAUCUCAUCCAGGUACCAACAAGUACUCGAAUUACAAGCCUCUGGGUUGGAAAUGUCACUGUGGCGAUCACUUCUUCAACCCCUAGAUUUAAUUCAAACUUCCAAUGAAUUAAUUGGAAAUUUUAUGUCGAAAUUAGAGGAGAUGGGUUCUUGUCUUUUGAUAUUCUUUAGUUUAGUUUAUCUAAACGCUCAUAAAUAUGGGAUGUGCUCUUGGAUAAAAAUAGUGUGAUGAAUCA